rnacentral:rRNA from 1 species
GACGAACGCUGGCGGCGUGCCUAAUACAUGCAAGUCGAACGAGAGCGACCGGUGCUUGCACUGGCCAAUCUAGUGGCGAACGGGUGAGUAACACGUGGGUAACCUGCCCAUCAGAGGGGGAUAACAUUCGGAAACGGAUGCUAAAACCGCAUAGGUCUUCGAACCGCAUGGUUUGAAGAGGAAAAGAGGCGCAAGCUUCUGCUGAUGGAUGGACCCGCGGUGCAUUAGCUAGUUGGUGAGGUAACGGCUCACCAAGGCCGUGAUGCAUAGCCGACCUGAGAGGGUGAUCGGCCACAUUGGGACUGAGACACGGCCCAAACUCCUACGGGAGGCAGCAGUAGGGAAUCUUCCGCAAUGGACGCAAGUCUGACGGAGCAACGCCGCGUGAGUGAAGAAGGUUUUCGGAUCGUAAAACUCUGUUGUUAGAGAAGAACAAGUGCUAGAGUAACUGUUAGCGCCUUGACGGUAUCUAACCAGAAAGCCACGGCUAACUACGUGCCAGCAGCCGCGGUAAUACGUAGGUGGCAAGCGUUGUCCGGAUUUAUUGGGCGUAAAGCGAGCGCAGGCGGUUCUUUAAGUCUGAUGUGAAAGCCCCCGGCUCAACCGGGGAGGGUCAUUGGAAACUGGAGAACUUGAGUGCAGAAGAGGAGAGUGGAAUUCCACGUGUAGCGGUGAAAUGCGUAGAUAUGUGGAGGAACACCAGUGGCGAAGGCGACUCUCUGGUCUGUAACUGACGCUGAGGCUCGAAAGCGUGGGGAGCAAACAGG